GUUGUAUGGUUAAGUGACUAAGCGUACACGGUGGAUGCCUGGGCAGUCAGAGGCGAUGAAGGACGUACUAACUUGCGAUAAGCGCAGAUAAGGCAGUAAGAGCCGUUUGAGUCUGCGAUUUCCGAAUGGGGAAACCCAACUGCAUAAGCAGUUACUGUUAACUGAAUACAUAGGUUAACAGAGCAAACCGGGGGAACUGAAACAUCUAAGUACCCCGAGGAGAAGAAAUCAACCGAGAUUCCGGUAGUAGCGGCGAGCGAACCUGGAUUAGCCCUUAAGCACUCGGUGAAGUAGGUGAACAAGCUGGAAAGCUUGGCGAUACAGGGUGAUAGCCCCGUAACCGACGCUUCAUCGAGCGUGAAAUCGAGUAGGGCGGGACACGUGAUAUCCUGUCUGAAUAUGGGGGGACCAUCCUCCAAGGCUAAAUACUCCUGACUGACCGAUAGUGAACCAGUACCGUGAGGGAAAGGCGAAAAGAACCCCUGUGAGGGGAGUGAAAUAGAACCUGAAACCGUGUACGUACAAGCAGUAGGAGCACCUUCGUGGUGUGACUGCGUACCUUUUGUAUAAUGGGUCAGCGACUUAUAUUCAGUGGCAAGGUUAACCGUAUAGGGGAGCCGUAGCGAAAGCGAGUCUUAACUGGGCGCUCAGUCUCUGGAUAUAGACCCGAAACCGGGUGAUCUAGCCAUGGGCAGGUUGAAGGUUGAGUAACAUCAACUGGAGGACCGAACCGACUAAUGUUGAAAAAUUAGCGGAUGACUUGUGGCUAGGGGUGAAAGGCCAAUCAAACUCGGAGAUAGCUGGUUCUCCCCGAAAGCUAUUUAGGUAGCGCCUCGGACGAAUACUACUGGGGGUAGAGCACUGUUAAGGCUAGGGGGUCAUCCCGACUUACCAACCCUUUGCAAACUCCGAAUACCAGUAAGUACUAUCCGGGAGACACACGGCGGGUGCUAACGUCCGUCGUGGAGAGGGAAACAACCCAGACCGCCAGCUAAGGUCCCAAAGUAUUGCUAAGUGGGAAACGAUGUGGGAAGGCUCAGACAGCUAGGAUGUUGGCUUAGAAGCAGCCAUCAUUUAAAGAAAGCGUAAUAGCUCACUAGUCGAGUCGGCCUGCGCGGAAGAUGUAACGGGGCUAAGCAAUACACCGAAGCUGCGGCAAUGUCUUUUAGACAUUGGGUAGGGGAGCGUUCUGUAAGCCGUUGAAGGUGAAUCGUAAGGUUUGCUGGAGGUAUCAGAAGUGCGAAUGCUGACAUGAGUAACGACAAAGGGGGUGAAAAACCUCCUCGCCGGAAGACCAAGGGUUCCUGUCCAACGUUAAUCGGGGCAGGGUGAGUCGACCCCUAAGGUGAGGCCGAAAGGCGUAAUCGAUGGGAAACGGGUUAAUAUUCCCGUACUUCUGACUAUUGCGAUGGGGGGACGGAGAAGGCUAGGUGGGCCAGGCGACGGUUGUCCUGGUUCAAGUGCGUAGGCUUGAGAGUUAGGUAAAUCCGGCUCUCUCUAAGGCUGAGACACGACGUCGAGCUACUACGGUAGUGAAGUCAUUGAUGCCAUGCUUCCAGGAAAAGCCUCUAAGCUUCAGAUAGUCAGGAAUCGUACCCCAAACCGACACAGGUGGUCGGGUAGAGAAUACCAAGGCGCUUGAGAGAACUCGGGUGAAGGAACUAGGCAAAAUGGUACCGUAACUUCGGGAGAAGGUACGCUCUUGAUGGUGAAGUCCCUCGCGGAUGGAGCUGACGAGAGUCGCAGAUACCAGGUGGCUGCAACUGUUUAUUAAAAACACAGCACUGUGCAAAAUCGCAAGAUGACGUAUACGGUGUGACGCCUGCCCGGUGCCGGAAGGUUAAUUGAUGGGGUUAGCGCAAGCGAAGCUCUUGAUCGAAGCCCCGGUAAACGGCGGCCGUAACUAUAACGGUCCUAAGGUAGCGAAAUUCCUUGUCGGGUAAGUUCCGACCUGCACGAAUGGCGUAAUGAUGGCCACGCUGUCUCCACCCGAGACUCAGUGAAAUUGAAAUCGCUGUGAAGAUGCAGUGUACCCGCGGCUAGACGGAAAGACCCCGUGAACCUUUACUACAGCUUGGCACUGAACAUUGAACCUACAUGUGUAGGAUAGGUGGGAGGCUAUGAAGACGUGACGCCAGUUGCGUUGGAGCCGUCCUUGAAAUACCACCCUUGUAUGUUUGAUGUUCUAACUUAGACCC
rnacentral:rRNA from 1 species